rnacentral:lncRNA from 1 species
UCAACUCAAUGUACUCAAGAAAGCAAGCAACAAACAGUCCUGGCAAGCCUCUAAUAUCCACACUCAAAAACAUAUGCAUGUUCAAAUCAAAAGGUCUUUUAUGGAUGUAAUGGGGUCAAGGACAAGGGAGGAUAACAUAUGGAUGAGAAGCUACAAACCAAAGGAAAUAGAGGAGCAAUGGGGAACAAGUGUAAACACAAUAUACUCACACCCAAAACCUCUAAUUCCAUCCUCUUCUUGACUCCUUUAUUCACAAUUUUUUUUUUCAUUUUUCUGUAUUUUUUUUUCUUUUUUUUUCAUCUUGUCUAUUUUCUUUUCUCUCUUCUCAGAACACAAUUAUUCCCAAAAGAGACAAGAUAACACAACAUAUAUACAAAAACAAACAAGAAGAGG